GCGAGGGUUGCUGAGCUUGGCCAAAGGUGCUGGACUUAAGAUUCAGUCGCGUAGGCGUUCGUGGGUUCAAAUCCCAUCCCUCGCA
rnacentral:tRNA from 4 species